rnacentral:rRNA from 1 species
GAUGAACGCUGGCGGCGUGCCUAAUACAUGCAAGUCGAGCGAACAGACGCGGAGCUUGCUCCUCUGACGUUAGCGGCGGACGGGUGAGUAACACGUGGAUAACCUACCUAUAAGACUGGGAUAACUUCGGGAAACCGGAGCUAAUACCGGAUAAUAUAUUGAAUCGCAUGGUUCAAUAGUGAAAGACGGGUUUGCUGUCACUUCUAGAUGGAUCCGCGCCGCAUUAGCUAGUUGGUAGGGUAACGGCUUACCAAGGCAACGAUGCGUAGCCGACCUGGGAGGGUGAUCGGCCACACUGGAACUGGGACACGGUCCAGGCUCCUACGGGAGGCAGCAGUAGGGAAUCUUCCGCAAUGGGCGAAAGCCUGACGGAGCAACGCCGCGUGAGUGAUGAAGGUCUUCGGAUCGUAAAACUCUGUUAUUAGGGAAGAACAAAUGUGUAAGUAACUAUGCACGUCUUGACGGUACCUAAUCAGAAAGCCACGGCUAACUACGUG